rnacentral:rRNA from 1 species
AACGGGUGAGGAACACGUGAAGAAUCUGCCCCUCAUUUGGGAUAACUUCGGGAAACCGAGGCUAAUACCGAAUAUGAAACAUAAGUGGCAUCACUGAGUUUGAAAGUUUUUCGAUGAGGGAUGACUUCGGGCUAUCAGUAGUUGGUGAGGUAACGGCUCACCAAGGCAACGACGGGUAGCCGGCCUGAGAGGGCGAACGGCCACACUGGGACUGAGACACGGCCCAGACUCCUACGGGAGGCAGCAGUAGGGAAUAUUGCGCAAUGGAGGAAACUCUGACGCAGCGACGCCGCGUGCGGGAUGAAGGCCUUCGGGUUGUAAACCGCUUUCAGUAGGGAAGAAGCGAAAGUGACGGUACCUACAAAAGAAGCACCGGCUAACUAUGUGCCAGCAGCCGCGGUAAUACAUAGGGUGCAAGCGUUGUCCGGAAUUAUUGGGCGUAAAGAGCUCGUAGGUGGUCGAUCACGUCGGAUGUGAAAAUCUGAGGCUUAACCUCAGACCUGCAUUCGAUACGGGUUGACUGGAGUGUGGUAGGGGAGACUGGAAUUCCUGGUGUAGCGGUGGAAUGCGCAGAUAUCAGGAGGAACACCGAUGGCGAAGGCAGGUCUCUGGGCCAUUACUGACACUGAGGAGCGAAAGCGUGGGGAGCGAACAGGAUUAGAUACCCUGGUAGUCCACGCCGUAAACGGUGGGCGCUAGUUGUGGGAACCUUCCACGGUUUCUGCGACGCAGCUAACGCAUUAAGCGCCCCGCCUGGGGAGUACGGUCGCAAGACUAAAACUCAAAGAAAUUGACGGGGCCCCGCACAAGCAGCGGAGCAUGCGGCUCAAUUCGACGCAACGCGAAGAACCUUACCAAGGCUUGACAUAUACCAGGAAUACGGCAGAGAUGUCGUAGCCGCAAGGUCUGUAUACAGGUGGUGCAUGGUUGUCGUCAGCUCGUGUCGUGAGAUGUUGGGUUAAGUCCCGCAACGAGCGCAACCCUCGUCCUGUGUUACCAGCAUUUAGUUGGGGACUCACAGGAGACUGCCGGGGUCAACUCGGAGGAAGGUGGGGAUGACGUCAAAUCAUCAUGCCCCUUAUGUCUUGGGCUGCACGCAUGCUACAAUGGCUGGUACAAAGGGCUGCGAUACCGCAAGGUGGAGCGAAUCCCAGAAAGCCAGUCUCAGUUCGGAUUGGGGUCUGCAA